AGAGGGCACCUGAAGCACCCACUGAAACAGUUUCUCUUCUUACUUCUUUAUGAAGACAAGACAAGAGACUUCCGCCGAACCCAGAAAGCACAUACAGAGGUCCAAUUCUUACUGCCAUGAAUAUUCAACAACAAUGUUUAAGUCUGACACCGGUAACCAGAAGACUCAACAUAUUAACAAGUAAAUGAACCACUCCAGCAUGAAGCCAAAUGCAAGAAAAAAGUCUCCAUACUUCACCAUCCUCCACUAGCUUCCGAUCAAGGCCACCCAUAACUUUAAGCCUGGAAAGAAAUAUAUAUUGAAAAAUCUCUCCGUUUACCAUUAACACAAAUGAAUCCGAAAAUUUCAGAGAUGAAUAGUUUUCUUACGUUCGGAUUGAAGGACCAAAGAAAUAAUUUUCAGUCAAUGGUUGAAACGAAAACCUCCCCAGUGGAUCAUAUAAUAUACAAUUUUCUGGUCCAGUAGUCUCUGGACAAUUAUUGACAUACAUUGUGUAACCAAACAUGACAACACAAACCAUAUAAAUGAGAGGGACGAGCCAUGUGCACCAUGUCUCUGAAGCAUAUGGCUGACUGGCCAUAGCGGCUGGGCAGAGGCUCUGACGACGACAAACAGUUUCCGACAGAGAGAAGAGAGGGUGAUGGGAUUUGGGUGGCAAAGAGAAAAUCUUGCCCGGUUUGUAGAAUGGCAGCUAUUUUAAGGGAGAAAAAUAUAUAUUCUAAAUGUUUAAGUUAGAUGGUUUUUUGGGUAAAUAGUUUUCAGUACGUUGAGUUGAGACAGAUUAUCAUAUAGAAUCGUUUCAUUAAGCAUAGAAAUCCCUGCCCUCCGCUUUUUAAGAAGAGUAAAACCUGGAUUUCAGACCAUUUGAUAUCUCUAAUUAAAUUAUUCUUAUGAUUUAAUUA